rnacentral:rRNA from 1 species
UACAGAGGGUGCAAGCGUUGUUCGGAAUCAUUGGGCGUAAAGCGCCCGUAGGCGGCCUGUUAAGUCGGAUGUGAAAGCCCAGGGCUCAACUCUGGAAGUGCAUUCGAAACUGGCGGGCUUGAAUGUCGGAGAGGGUGGUGGAAUUCCGAGUGUAGAGGUGAAAUUCGUAGAUAUUCGGAGGAACACCAGUGGCGAAGGCGACCACCUGGACGAACAUUGACGCUGAGGUGCGAAAGCGUGGGGAGCAAACAGG